rnacentral:ribozyme from 13 species
GAAAAAGAAAUGAAAGAGAGCAGAAAAAGACCGAGAGAAAUGGUCAAGAGUUUCAUGGUUUCUUUCUUUUCUUUUCUUUUCUUUUCUUUUCUUUUCUU